UACAGAGGUCUCAAGCGUUGUUCGGAUUCAUUGGGCGUAAAGGGUGCGUAGGCGGCGCGGUAAGUCGGGUGUGAAAUCUCGGAGCUUAACUCCGAAACUGCAUUCGAUACUGCCGUGCUUGAGGACUGGAGAGGAGACUGGAAUUUACGGUGUAGCGGUGAAAUGCGUAGAUAUCGUAAGGAGGACCAGUGGCGAAGGCGGGUCUCUGGACAGUUCCUGACGCUGAGGCACGAAGGCCAGGGGGAGCAAACGGG
rnacentral:rRNA from 1 species